CCGCGCGCCGCGGGGCCCGCUCCCCUCGCCUCGGCCUCGGCGCGGACCUCCCCGGGCGCCCCCGGCCCCGAGGUUGGGUUUUCCUGCAAAUGGCGCCCGGAGCUCCCACCUGCGCCUCCGCCAGCUGGGCCGCGGUCACAAAGCCCGUUUGCGGGGUGGGGACGCGAGCUCUCCACGGGCAGGGAUCGUGCCGUCCCCGUGUUCCAUCAAAACAGGAAAGGGAAGGUGAAUCAUCACCCGAAGAUCAGUCUACCUGCGGCGUCCCAGGCGGGCGCGUGGAGCGGCCACCAAUCGCUUUAUUGGAAAAAAAGUGUUAAUCACGUCUGGAAAAGCAGAACACAGUUGCAAGGGGGGAGCCUGGAAGUGAUUCCUGAAAAUCUAUGCUCAAGUCUUUUAAACCGUGACACUACGGCCUGUUGCGAGCAGACACUGUUGGUCCUCGGGUUGAGAAGGAGCUUCAGCCCUCAUCUGGAUAUGAGUUGACAACCUAGAAGGAGAGUUUUGGGUAUCCAAACGCAAGAGAGCUGGAGAGAGGAUCUGCAUCCAAGAGUGAGAGAAAGGAAAGUGAUAGAGAAGUGGUUGAAAGACACCAGGGAAAGAUAAGAAAGACAAGAAAAUGAGAAUAUGAAUGACAAGAUCAGGAGGCAGGAAUAUCUGAAACAAGUUGGAAAUGCUUGGCAUGGAGCAAUCAGGGCAGGACUAGAGCUGGGUCAUCCCAGGGUGUUGGAGGCUCUCCUGACGCUCUUUGAUGCUGCAGUCUCACUGGGGGGAAAUGCAGCUUUUGCCUUUUCUGAUGAAAAGAUAGCUUUGAAAUGGAGGGGCUGCUUUUUGUUUUUAUUCAUGUUAUUUUAUUUUUUACUGUAGGCAUUCUUAGGGGGAAGAAUCCUAUUCAUUACUUGAGUAGAGUAACAUGCUUUACUAAAAUAAGUUUCUAUUCUAAAUGAUUGUUCUUAAAAUAGGAGAUAACCAGAAAUAUCCCUUUUGAAGGACUCUUUAUUCAGUUUAUUUUAGGCAUAUGAAGCUACUUCAUAAUCACAAAGGGGGUAAUUUAACAAGAGAUGUAAAACUGAUAGUCUUGUGUUGUACAUGUUUAUGGUUAUUUAUACGAUGUAUAUUUAUACACAUAUAGUUAUUUAUACACACGUGAAUAAAAUGCUCAAAGUUCUUUAAUCA
rnacentral:lncRNA from 1 species